ensembl:lncRNA
CAAUCUGUGAUAAGCAAAUCUGUAAUGUUUCAUCAUACAGUCAAGUCCAUCACCUCCAAGAUCUCCACCUGAGGAGAGGAAGAGAGAAGCGGAAAGAAGAAAGGAAGAAAUGGACAGAAGAGAGAGAGAACUAAAAAGAGAACAGGAUAGAAGAGAGAAAGAAAUUAACAGAAGAGAGAGAGGACUGGAUAGAGAACUGGAUGAAAGAGAGAAAGAAAUGGAUAGAAGAGAGAGAGCACUGGAAAGAAGAGCGAUGGAACUUGAUAGAAGAGAGAGAGAAAUGGGUGAUCAUCAAGUACGUCAUGAAUUGGCAGCAGAAGCAGAAGAAGCAGAAGACGGACCGGACACAAGCUCAGACGAAUCUUCAGUGAAGUGUUUCAUAGAAACACAAGAGAUGCCAGCUGAAGCUCUGAAACCUGUGCGAUGUCACAGCAAAGAAUUAAAUCGCUCAGAAGAGAAAAUGGGGGCGUCAGAGUCACAUGCAAGAGCUCUAUCCGAGGCAAGAAAGAUGGAGCCGGAGAGAGAAUUGAACAAAACAGCCAUGGAACCGGAUAGAAGAGUGAUGGACCUGGAUAAAAGUGCAAUGGAUACCAAUAUUAGAGAGAGAGAACUGGAUAGAAGGGAGAGCAAAAUGGAGAGAAGAGUGAGAGAACUGAAGCAAAAAGAAACAGAACUGGAUAAAAGACCGAUGGACCAGCAGAGAACACAGAUGUGCUGGUUUAUAAGUCAUAUACUGGAGAAAAGAGAGAUGGAACAAGAUAUUAUAGAGACAGAACAGGAGAAAACAGCAAUGGAUCCAGAUAUUAGAGUGAGACAACCAGAGAAAAGAGUGAUUGAACCCCAUAUUACAGAGAGAGAACUGGAUAGAAGAGCGAUGGAACUGGAUAGAAGAGCAUUUGACUUGCAUGUGGAACUAAACAGAAGAGGGAUGGAAAUGGAUAUUAGACAGAGAGAAAUUGAGAAAAGAGCAGAGAGAAGACAGACCGAACUGGAUAAAAGACUGAUGGACCUGCAUGUAAGGCAAUAUAAGCUGUAUAUUAGAGACCAAGAAGCAAUGGAACUGGAUGGAAGAGAGAAAGGACUAAAGAAAAGAGUGAUGGAACCAGAUAUUACAGAGAUAGAAAUGGAGAGACAAGAGAUGGAACUGUAUAUUAGAGAGAGAGAACUGGAUAGAAGAGAGAGCGAAUUGGAGAGAAGAGAAACCAAACUGGAGAGAAGAGAAACCGAACUGGAUAGAAGAGAGAGCGAAUUGGAGAGAAGAGAAACCAAACUGGAGAGAAGAGAGAGCGAAUUGGAGAGAAGAGAAACCAAACUGGAGAGAAGAGAGGGUGAACUGGAGAGAAGACAGAGUGAACUGGAGAGAAGGCCUGAAGGAAUGAACCCUGUUCGAAGUAGCAGCAAUGAGUUAGACCAUCCUAACAGUAAGAAUUAUGUUAUUUAUGCACAGUUUGAUUUAUGCAUGUGAUGAUGGAAGAUCAUGAAAUAAUUAUAAUUUCAUCUGAUACAACAAACUUGACAUUCAUUUUAGGUCAGACCACACACUGGACCUCCUAAGAUAAGAUAAUGAACACUUUUAUCAAAUCAUUACUCUGCAUAAUGAUGACUACAUCUCAAGUAGACUUACAAAAUGUUUACUGUAUAUUGUUACUCAUUGUUGGGAGUAACAUACAUAACAUCAUCAGAUUUCUAUUUUUGAAGUAACAUGUAAAGUAACAUGUUCCCCUAUUUUAAACGUACACUAUAAUACCUAAUAAACCCUUUGCACGUGACGUCA